UCACACAAGAGACCCAAGUUAACAGUAUGUCGGCGUAAAGAGUGGUACUAUGAUAUCAUUGCAACUAGGAUUGAAAUGCAGCUAAGCUGUCAUAAGCCCAAGACGCACUUAAAGUCACCUUCAAGAUGAUCCUAGCGCCUCUGAUUAAUUUAACCCCACGAAAGCUAGGGCACAAACUGGGAUUAGAUACCCCAUUAUGCCUAGCCCUAAAUCUUGAUGCUUACCACACUAAAGCAUCCGCCGGAGAACUACGAGCACAAACGCUUAAAACUCUAAGGACUUGGCGGUGCCCUAAACCCACCUAGAGGAGCCUGUUCUAUAAUCGAUAAUCCACGAUUUACCCAACCACCUCUCGCCAAAGCAGCCUACAUACCGCCGUCGCCAGCCCACCUCCUCUGAGAGCCCUACAGUGGGCAUAAUAGCCCAACCCGCUAAUAAGACAGGUCAAGGUAUAGCCUAUGGGGUGGAAGAAAUGGGCUACAUUUUCUAUAAUAGAAAA
rnacentral:rRNA from 1 species